GUCAGAAUGCCUCCAUCUGCGUCUCCCAGAAGAAAGGUCCCGGGAGCAACCUCUGCUAUCUGCUAUCCUAGGAACUCAGGAGCCAUUCGGGGUGUGGUGCAUGUGCCCUGUGGGAAAAGUACAUGAGGAGCCAAGUGGAGAAGAGGCUUGAAGGACUGCAACCAGACCAGGGAGGGAGCCAAGACUCAGAUGGUAUAAACCGAAACUGGGGGAGGCCAGCCUGUCAGAUGCACCCGAGGAUCCCUGCCUUCUGGGGAGCGCGGUGACACCAAGCUGCGAUGCGUGGUGGGAAGAGGGCAGGUACACAAAAGACAGGAAGCCAAAUGUGCGGGCCUUGAAGGGUGCUGCUCAGAGCACAAGGCCCCACCGUUCACCAGAUGUGUGUCCACUUCACUUCUCUCCACCGCUGUUUACUCAGCUGUAAAAUGGAAAUGAUGAUAA